rnacentral:rRNA from 1 species
CAGUAGCGUAUAUUAAAGUUGUUGCAGUUAAAAAGCUCGUAGUUGGAUUUCGGGUGGGACGCAGCGGUCUCGCAUUGCGUUUGUACUGCUGCAGCCCUCCUUCUUGCCGGGGGCGGCCUCUCGGACUUCACUGUCUGGGGGUCAGAAUCGGCGAUGUUACUUUGAGUAAAUUAGAGUGUUCAAAGCAAGCUUACGCUCUGAAUAUAAUAGCAUGGGAUAACACGACAGGACUCUGGCCUAUCGUGUUGGUCUAUAGGACCAGAGUAAUGAUUAAGAGGGACAGUCGGGGGCAUUCGUAUUCCGUUGUCAGAGGUGAAAUUCUUGGAUUUACGGAAGACGAACAUCUGCGAAAGCAUUUGCCAAGGAUGUUUUCAUUGA